UUCAAAAUGAUCAGAUCAAGCCUCUCACAUGUACCCUACAAUGUCUUUCUGAAAAUAAACAACCACAUCAUUGUGAUCUUAAAACUAUGAGAUAAUUCAAGAUUAAUUCAAAACAAUAUGAAUAAUUAACUAUUACAUUUGACAUAGAAAUUUAUAU